GCGGAGAGGAUAUUUUUUGUUUUGUUUUGUUUUCACAAGUGUGGAAUACAUCAGUUAAAAUCUCAAGAAACCCUGAGGCAGAGGAUUAAGAGAUGCUAAAAAGAAGUCUGUGUGCUUAGCCUGCUCCGAACAGGAACACAGCUCUCAAAUGAAUAUACACCAAGACUCAACACCUAGACCCACGAUAGUAGAUGCUCAGUAAAGGUUUGCUGACUGAACACAUGAUUGUGUCUACCCAUAGCAGUACUUUGUUGUGGGAUGGGCCCUGGC
ensembl:processed_transcript RIKEN cDNA E130307A14 gene